GUUUAAAUGGAGCCCAUUCUAUCUGCAUUUGCUACAGGAUAAUGUGGAGUGAUAGGGUUGAGAGGAGAUGCUGGGAAGGGCGUGACAGAGUGAGCUGGGCAAUCCCCAGAAUGAAUUAAGAAGUAUCAUUUGAACAGCUGCUCGUCUAUCACUGACUUUUGCAGAGAGGGUGUUUCACUGCAGACUCUGAUAUUGAGAAGGUAGAGGUGGCUCAUGGUGUAUCCCAAGUCUCAGUCUUCCUGUGUGUUAUGGGUUGAGUUGUGUGCCCUCCUCCUUCCCCUCCCCAACAUUAAUAAAGUCCUAACUCCCAGUACCUCAGAAUAUGACCUAGUUGGAGGUAGGGACAUCGCAGAUGUAAUUAGUUAAAAGGAGGUCACACUGGAGUAGAGUGGGCCCCUUAUCCAUAUGACUGGUGUCCUUGUAAAAGAACCCACAUGAAGAAACGGACACACACACAGGAAGAAUGGCAAGUGAGCAUGAAGGCAGAGAGUGGAUGAUGCCAUCUACAAGCCCAGGAGGGAGACCUGGGAUAGAUGGUUCCCUCACAUCUCUCAGACGGAGCCAAACCUGCCGACAUCUUGAUCUCGGAUUUCCAGCCUCCAGACCUGGGAGGCAAGAGCUUUUUGUUGAUAAGCCGCCCCGUGUGUGAUACUUUGUUCCAGCAAUCCUAGCAAGCGAGCACAUACUCCCUGCAUUUUGAUUUGGUGACUAACCCUUCCUUUCUGUAACAUCUGGUAGUUUCCUUGGACUGGGGUGCUAGACUUUAGAUACUGAGCUUGAUGUGUUUGCAGAACCCGGGUCUCUGUCAGUCCGCCUUAGUUCUGCAGCCAGAACUCUCUCUCUGUGUCCUCUCAAUGUCCCUGCGUUGGGUCACGAGUCAGGCUACUCUUUCAGGAUUAUGGUUCUUCCUUUGAGAGAAACUUCUGAGGAAAUUAUGUCAACUCUUACAUACUCUCUAAUUUUACUACAUUUUAUUUUAUUUGUUUGACUGAUGUUCUUUAUAAUUUUAACGUGAGGCAGAGACUUGCUUCACUUAAUUUAAAAAUGGAGUUUCCGUACCUUUGGGGUCUUUUUGUUGUCUGAUGGAUUUCAGUGAGUGUGGUGGACUGAACAUAACUUUCUUCUACCAUCUAUAAGUAAGUACUUAAAAAAACCUUAUGGUGACAAACAUUUCCAUUUUGAUUUUUCAGAUAAAUAAGCUCAGUCAAGGAAUUUAUUUAACAGCAAGGGGAUUUAUGAUGAAAAUGAGAGCUGGUGCCCUAAGAGUCUCUGUCAUGCUGGUAGUUUGGUGUAAGUCGAUUGAAAGUGUGUGUAAACACCUUUGUGAAGCACGGGGCUGAGUGUGGGACAUCUCUGUGUCUUCCCUCAGAGAAAUGAUAAUAGUCCUUCGGUGGGGCGUGAAGGUAGGAAAAAAAAAAAAGAAUUAUAAUCCAAUGUGGUAAGUGCGGUCUCAGAGAUAUGGAUAGACAGGUUCUUUGGGGUCUAGACUCCAGAUUCUAGAGGAGUAACUCUACCCUGAUUAACAGGCACUGAAUUAGAGGCUACAUUUGUUACUUCCAGAGCUGAUUUUGACUGGGAUAGACAUGGAUCACUUCUAGUGCAGACGAGAGGGAGGUUCCAGAGGUAAUCUCAAAUUAAGUUUAUGCCAGGGGUUGACAAGCUUUUUGUAAAAGGGUCAGGUAAUAAAUAUUUUAGACUUUGUGGGCCAUACUUGGUCUUUGUCCCAUAUUCUGCCUCCCUCUUUUUAAACACAACCCCUUAAAAAUGUGAAAAUCGUUCAUAGCUCUUGGGUCAUAUAAAAAUAGGAGCGGACUAGAGUUGGCCAACCCUUGUUCUAUUCCAGAGUGCAUCUUAAAUUCAUUCCAUACUUAUCUCUAAGUCUUGGGAAUGGCUCCAAACCAAUAGAACAAGAUCUCAGAUAGGAAUGCUGUUGAGAGUUAACCAAGCCUCAGAGUGGAGUAGACUGUGUUAUUGUUGUCGUUGGCUGCCCUUUGUGGGAGGGAUGUGUGUGCCCACUCCUGCCAUGUGGCUUGCAGUGUUGCGCCCUAUAGGUGGAUUUCCUUCCGCAAACAUUGGGCAGGCUGGGCUCUAUAAAAACAUGAGUGGAAAGGUGGUGUGCCUCUUCCUGGUAGAAGCUGAAGUGUCAUCAUGUGGUCGCACCGUUAUGUGUUUCGGCCACUGGUUGGAUCCACCAUUGCAUUCUCGUUCUUCCUUGAGAUCAACAUGAUCCAGAUGGGCUUGGUCCCAGGAUGAAAAGACAACAGAGCAGAGUCAAAACCAACUCUCAGUUGAUCUGUAACAUAAGUGAGAAUUAAAUCUUUGUUCUUAGAAGCCCGUGAGCUUAUUUGUUUAUUUGUUUGUUUGUGUAUUACAGUUAUAUUAUGUAAGGAAGCUUCCUAGCACACAAAGAAACUUGUGUCCCCCAGUUUGGUCCACCCUUCUGAGCUGAGCAGACGUGGAACAAAAGAGUGGAGUAUGUUUUAAUGCAUGAGUAAACUUUAAAAAAAAAUAAUUCUCACAUUUCUUAUUUUAUAAAAGUAGCUCAUUUUAGAGAGGGGCAAGACUUGCUACAGAUUGUUCAGAGUUCUAAGCAAGGAAAUUUAGAAAAGCAGAAGCUGGAGGCAUGUACAUCAAGCCAAUGUUGCCCCAACAGCUGAUUGUCCGGGAAACCCAGAGAACACUGAACCCAAAAAAGUCAAGGUAAGCAUGACUUGUGUUUAUGAAUAAUGCAUAGCUAAAAAGUGAAAUAACAACACUGCAACUAUUUCUAAAUAAUGGUCUAUAAAUAAUAAGCACAGUUUUAAUCACUAGGCCAAGUAAUAAAACCUGUCCACGGCGCUGAGCCUUUUUGAGUUUCGGAGCAUUAGUUGCUUACAAAGUGCCGUUAUCUUCAAAUGCUAAGGUCUGCAUCUGUAAAUUCUACUGCCAAUUCAGGAUCUUGUCCUUGCCAGUUGAUGAACAUACAGGAUUAACUUUUAGUGUCAGAGAUUCCUUUGCAGGCUGCUCUCAUGUAGGUUGAACUCAUUUAUUAAUAAUAAUAAAUGACAUGUCCUGAACAGUUUACAUGUGCCAGAUAUGAUGCUAAAUGCUUCGGAUGACUUCCUCAUCGCUCUCAACCCUGGCGCAACUUUGUGAAGCAGGUACUAUUAUUAUCUCAGGCUGAGAAAUGAACAAGCAGAAGCUCAGAGACGGGCGAUAAAUUGACGUGGGUUACACAGUGAAUGAACGAUGGGAUUGGAAUUUCGAUGCAGGGUUGACCCUACAGCUCCCUCUCUGGUCUGGAGGAUACCUGCACCUUACAUCUGUCUAUUUUCUCUGCCACUGGCAAGCCACGGGACCUUGUAAAAGUCCAAUAAGAUCACAUCUUUGAGAUCCCUCUGAAAACUGUCAUGCACUGUGCAGAUGUAAGUUUUCAAGGUUAACACUUUUUGUAACCCCCAAUUGUCCAGGAGACACAACAAACGACCAGUCUGGAGGAUUCAGGUGUGAGACUCUCCAGCUGGGGACUAAGUCCCAAUGGGACUUACAAGGGUGAACUUCUCUCUUGCCCUCGCAUCUCCUCCCGGAGUGAAUUCAUUAGCACAACAUCUCAUAUUUUCUAGGGUAAGCAUAAUAUGUGGCCUGAAAACCGACCUCCUGAGACCAGUUCCUUGGACUCCUUAUACCUGAAUUUUUGGAUCAGACGUUUAAUGUUUCAGGCUAAUGUUUUAAAAAUGGAAAUGAAUCAGAAGACAGAGGGUGCCUCUGGGAUCUCAAACUGGUUUUUGUCCUCUUUUCACAGAAGAACGAAGGUAAGCGAUUUGCAUUUAAAUCACUCUGAUGGAAACACCUAGAAGGACAGAGCUAAGAUUUGAGAGCAGAGUAGAGAACCAAAGGCUUCUGGCUCUUGGCAGGUGGUGGAACACCCAGUGAGCCCCUCUUGGAAGAGCCUGCAGCUGGCACCUGGGGACAUGAUGCACUAGUGGUCUCUUGAAGUGGCCGAGUCCUUGAGCUGGACUGACACACAGCUCUUUUCAUGGAUUGGACAUCAGCGACUUUUAUAAGGCCAGGGACCAUAACCAGGGUGUUUAGUUGUGAGAGAGGGCUAAGAGCAAGGAGGGGGAGGAGAGUGAAGGGGAAGGGAGAGGGGAGAGGCAAAUGAAUGAGGGAGAGUAGGAGCAGGAAGCUUAGAAAAGAAUUAGGAAAAUGAGGAAUGUGUUGCCUCAACCAUCAGGGAGAACAAAACCCAAAAACCAAUCAAGGAAAUGUAGUGUUGAAUCUUUUAACUAAGAUCCUUGGUCUUUCCAUUUCCACCUUCAAAGUAUGAAAACAGUUUGUGACUAAUCACGUAAAUAAAAAGCCGACUGCAUCUGUCAUGAAAAAUCACUAGACCUCAAUCAAAACAGUCCCCAAAUGUCUCCAUAACCAUUAAUCAUUUGAAACAGAACCAUCCAUGGGCGGUUGUUCAUUUCUCUUGAAAGUAGGUGUCACUAAAUACGUAAUGCCUCUUUAUUUAAAGGAUAAAUCUUUAAAAAUAUUAGGUCCUAGUCUAUCUGUUAACACUCAGGGAGCCCAUGCUCUUACUCGAUUUAGACGUUUAAAAAAUUAUAAAUUUCUGGAGUUUCAGAUGAAGUCUACUUGUGAUUUAACACCAGCUUCGAUACAUCCCAAAUUCUUGCAUUUUCUUCGUUGAAAAAACUCAAUAUUGUAGAGAUACUAUGGAUGAUGUGCUUCCUUUGAAAGCAAGGGCGUUUUAGUUCACCGUCUCUUCAUCAUUGUUUUUCCAAGGAAAGCCAGCGUGCUUUCAACACUGGGUAUGUUUGAAAUGCACAUCAUCCACGUAGUCGGAAAGGCGCUCUGCACCAGCUUGUACAAGUUUGCCAAACUUGGGAGGAGACGCAAACAUCCUACUCUAGGGCUCAGAAAAGGCCGAACUAGAGCUGUGGAUUUCCCCUCAUCAGCUUUACUUCUGUCAGGGUUUUGGCCCUUGAGGCUAUCUCAAAUGACAAGAGUUGGCUUCCAAUAUACAAAUUACGGUCAUUGCCGCUAUAGAAAUGCUGCGUAUGUUUACUUUUACAACCCAAGCUUUUGAAAAGUGGCAGCAGAGAGAAACUUGAACUAUUCUCUAGAAUCGGGCAGUAUACGGAGGGGAGGUUUAUCCUAUAGUCGUGGGAGGGAGAGGCUGAAAAAUUGUCAUAACUGCAUAAAUCCAACCAAAGGAUGAGUCUGUGCUCCAACUGGCGGUUAGGGAUUAAGAGACACUGAGCAUAGAAGCAUGUGUCUUCGUCUGUACGUAUCCUGUACACAAAUGUAGGGGGAGACACCGAAGGCCAGAUCUGUUCCGAUCCCUGGCAGUUUGAAUUAACAAAAUAAAAUGGAUCUUUUGCAGUGUUCGUGCAGAGUCUAGAGAACUAUAUUUUGGGAAUGAUGUGGGGGUUCCCGUAUCCAUCUGGUGGGGGUUGGGACUAGUUAAUGCUGCUGGCCUAGAGAUUUUAUGAAUUCCACCUGGGGCCUUCUUCUGUUGCCACAAAAUCUGUGUUUUAUAGGAAGUACGUUACUGACCUCCCCCCACGCUGACCCCUGUGCUGCCCCAAACCACAAUAAGUUCUAUAUGAAUAUGGUUAAUAAAUCCGAGUUAAUGUGACAACCAAUGAAGUAAAAUCCAGGAUCUUCUUGCCUUCUCCAGGAGAACAUUCUUACCUGUCUGGGAACCGUCUAUCUAUUUCGGUCAUUUAAACCCCCCAAAAGUGAGCCUAAUGAAGGAUUUUUCAAGAAGGAGAGGAAGACCAGCUAGCAAAAGGUAUCACCUAGGUCCUAUUAAUCCAGCUCCCCAAUUAGCAUCUUCUGGAGUGGGAUGCUUUGUGCAACCUCAAUGGCCAUGGGCAGUGAUGUUGGUACAGAAUCAGUGGGCUUUGCAAAGGUAUGUGCUUAUAACGUGGAAACAAUCUGUCACACGUAGCAAGAGUUCUGUGUGUGUGUGUGUGUGNNNNNNNNNGUCUGUCUGUCUGUCUUCUCUGUGUCCCUGUGUCUGGACCUCCACCGAAUUGUGUGUCAGCAUAUUUGGUGCACAGAUGUGGGCUACAAGUGCUGUCUGAUAUCGCCCCCGCCCCCACUGGCGUUGAAGACCUUCUUUAUCACCAAAGCGGGCUCUCAUGCAUGAUCGGUGGGUCAGCUGAGGGCCAUAAUAAAUCCUGGCCAGCCCUGCCCAGUAAUCUUUAGACUCCGACUCCUCCUCGACUGCCUUCCUGGGAAAUUCCUUUGGCACAUUGCUUCAAGGUGAGUAAAUGGGCAGGAGCAGUGGAGGAGGUGUUUAGAAGUGGCCUUGACUCCUCUUUCAGUUGGAAACUGUAUCUGAAACCUGAGCCAGGAGAUGCUUGUCUUACACUACUGUGGCUGGGAGAGCUACUGUUAUAACCUAGAGGGCAAGGAAGACAGCAGAAAAAGAAAACCUGGAUGUGAAUGCCACGUAAAUCAUGGGGCAAGGGUCCUGAGUAUGCAGCUACAUCUAACCAUGUUUUUUGUCUGAGAUGGUCAUGGAGUUUGACUCUGAAAGUCACGCAGAUGAUCCAGAAAAAGAGCCAGGAAAAAUGGCUAAAAGGCAACACCGUCCAGGGGAAUGUUCUGUGAUGAUGGGAAUGUUCUAUAUCUGUGCUGUUCUGUCAGUAGCAACUAGUCAUAUGGCUGCUGGGCACUUGGAAUGUGGUAGUGUAGUGUGAUUGAGAAGCAGAAUUUCUUAUUUUAUCUAUCUAUCUAUCUAUCUAUCUAUCUAUCUAUCAUCUAUCUAUCUACUGUAUUUUAUUUUAGAGAGAGAGAGAGCACAAACAGGGGAGAGGGCCUGAGGGAGAGAGAGAAUCUCAAGCAGUCUUCACGCUCAGCGUGAAGCCUGACGUGGGGCUCUAUCCCAUGACCCUGGAUCAUGACCUAAGCCGAAAUUGAGAGUUGGACACUCAACCGACUGAGCCACCUGGGCGCCCCCAGAGUCUCUAAUUUUAAUUGAUACAAAUGUAAAGAGCCACCUAUGGCUAAAAAANGCGGCCGCCAUAUUGGAACUGCACAGAUCUAGGGCAGCCGUCUGCAAUGAGGGAAAUGCAUAGCUCCUCUGUCCCAGAGGGUAGCCACUAGCCUCAUGUGACUAUCGAGCACUUGAAAUGUGGCAAGUGUGACUGAGGAAUUGAGUUUUGAGGAUCAUUUGCUUGUAAUAAAUUCAAAUUUGCAUUUGGAAAGCCACAUGUGGCUAGUGGCUGCUGCACUGGGCAGCACAGGGUCAAGGCAUCAGUUCAAGAUGCAGCACACUCUCCUGCUCAGCGGGUUUGCUUUUCCCUUCCCUGAGGUGAUGCGUAUUGCUCACUUCUCUCUUGGUUGAAGGAAAACUCCCCUGAAGUCACUUGUAAGGCCCAUCACCUUCCUUAUUCUUCAGUCACCAACUUGUUUCGGGAGCCCGUAAAGAAGGUUUAGGGCAAAAUGUUUCUGGAUAUGAUAUACUUGCUACUUGCGAAUGUUCUCUCUGUGGACACAUGGACCAUAUCCAAUGGUCCAAUAUCCAAUUUCCUAAGCUACUUUCACACUGGGCGGGUCUCCCGUCUGCCCACGGGAUUUAUCUCUGAGAAUGCAACGAAGCUUAUUUUCUGAAUUCAAGAUUCUCCAGGCUCCUUCUUCCUCUCAUUGUUUGUUUUAGCUGCAGUUUUAUUCAUCUGUUUUACCAUUGCUGUCACGUCAAAGUCUAGACAUGUGCUCAUGGUCAAACAACUUGAAGGAACUAUCUGCUUGAGUUGGAUUCCCCCUGUGUCCGUGGCAUUCAUAAAUAUCCCUACAAACACCACUUGGAAGGAUACACUGAAUCACCCUGAAACCCCUCGUCGUUCCUGGUUUUACCUAUUUACUGUCUUACAGUUCUGGAAGACAGGAGUCUGACCGUGGGUCUUACUGAGCUAAAUCAAGGUGUUGCUGGGCGCUGUUACUUCGGGCAACUCCAGGGAAGAGUCUGUUCCCUUGCCUUUUUCACCCUCCGAGAGGCUCCCUGAACUCGGUGUGCGGUCACCACCUCCAUCUUCAAAGACAGCAGUCGAACAUCUUCAAAUCUCUCUAUUUGUGCUUCUCGCAUCAUAUCUUUUUCUCGGACUCUGGCCCUUUGUCUCCCUCUUCACUUACAAAGACAUCUGUGAUUGCACAUCCAGAUAAUCACCCGGGAUAAUCUCCUCAUUUCCAAGUCAGUUUAUGACCCCCUUUGUUCGAUGUCCCUUAUUUUGAUUUCCCUUUGCCAUGUAAUAUAGCAUAUUCAUAGACUCUCCGGGUUAGGAUGUGGAUAUCUUCAACGUGGUAAAAUUCUGACCGUCACAUGCAGACCCAGGUAGCACUAACCCUCCCAGGGGGACCUGGUGUUUGUAUAGUGAGUGCGACAGCGGUGCUAAGAAAGCCAGGGUUGCUUUGUCAUACAUUUACUUUAUGUCCUUGAGCAUCGUCAGCUUAGAUUCCUCAUUGCUAUAGUGGAGGUAACGAUGGCUAAUUCACGCAGUUGUCGAGAUGAUUGAGUAACUUGUGUAACAUUCCUUGUACGUGCCUUGGCAUCUCCCAGUACUCAAGACAGCUCGCUUCCCCUUCUCUCCUGGGCUGCGUGGUUGCCGCGGUGCGUGGGGUCUUUCCGUAAAGAUGUUGAUGGGAACUGCACACCGUUUCUUCCUCUCCUCCCGAGAAGGCAUUCCCCCCCAUCCCUUUGUGUUUUCAUCCCCUAUGGCAGCGUGCAUCGUGUUGUACAAUAUUACAGAUGUAGGGUUUUAAGCAAGACUCUGUGGAGUAACGUUUAGCAACCUAUACAAACACAUCGUCUAGCUUCAUACUGUGGCUUUUGCAGACACUCAGCCUGGCUGUCCGUUCUGGGGCUGCUUGGAUGCCUGGCAUCAACCUCCCGACGCAUUGCUGGUGCCAGAGGAGACGUGCCAUGUGAGCAGAGCCACCCGUGGUCUAGACGGCGGUCUGGUGGCCCCGCCUCUGGGUGAGGGCCGCGGAGCUGAAGUGAGGAGGAGAGAAUGCUUUGGUCCCUUUAGAGUCAACUCGGAUACCAAAUCCUUGACCUUGAGUUUAGGAAUAAGAAGCAAAGAAAUCCCUAAGCUCCUGGGACCACGGGCUGCCACCCAUUGGUCACUCCCAGGGUGUGAUCAACAUUCUGUGUGCUUUGCAUUUACUAACUCCUGAAAUCCUCCCCCUGCUCCUUAGAAGUGGACGCUAUUACUAUGAUUUCUAUCAAGCAGAGAGAAGCUGACCAAGGACACAAGCCUAGUAGGGGAUAGAGUCAGGUUGGAAGCCAGGUGGGGAGUCUGGAACCCAGUGAACAAGCACCUGGAGGGGCUGAAGGGAGUUAGUGUCUUCUCCCUUCUUUUUUUUUUUUUAACAAUUUUUUUUAAAUGUUUUUAUUUAUUUUUGAGACAGAGAGAGAGCAUGAGUGGGGAAGGGGCAGAGAAGGAGGGAGACACAGAAUUGGAAGCAGGCUUCAGGCUCUGAGCUGUCAGCACAGAGCCCAACGUGGGGCUCGAGUUCACGGACUGUGAGAUCAUGACCUGAGCUGAAGUCAGACGCUUAACCAACUGAGCCACCCAAGCGCCCCAUGUCUUCUCCCUUCUUUAUCUCCUCCCCGAGGCAGGGGAAGUUCUAGGAGAAGGAGGCGGUCUUUUAUUUAUUUAUUUAUUUAUUUAUUUAUUUUUUACUUUUUAUUUUACAGAGAGAGAGAGCGCGCACGAGCACGGAGAGGGGCAGAGAGAGAUAGAGAAUCUCAACGAAGCUCCAUGGUCAGCGUGGACCCAGAUGUGGGGCUCAAUCCCAUGACCCUGGGAUCAUGACCUGAGCUGAAAUCAAGAGUCGGAUGCCCCACCGACUGAGCCACCCAGGCACCCCAGAAUAAGGCAGUCUUGUUAAUAGAAAGAGUAGAAGAAACGGGGAAAAGAAUUGGUGUGUGUUACGUCUAGCAUUUUCUAGCAUGUUUGUGAAUUAAG
rnacentral:lncRNA from 1 species